rnacentral:rRNA from 1 species
UACGUAGGCAGCAAACGUUGUUCGGAAUUACUGGGCGUAAAGCGUGUGUAGGCGGCCAUAUAAGUCGGAUGUGAAAGCCCUGGGCUCAACCCAGGAAGUGCACUCGAUACUGUAUGGCUUGAGUACUGGAGAGGUUGGUGGAAUUCUCGGUGUAGAGGUGAAAUUCGUAGAUAUCGAGAGGAACACCGGUGGCGAAGGCGGCCAACUGGACAGAUACUGACGCUGAGACACGAAAGCGUGGGGAGCAAACAGG